UACUUUAAACAUGUGACUACUAGAAAAUGUUUAAUUACAUAUGUAGCUCACAUUACAAUUCUCUUCAGCAGUGCUGUUCUAUCAUGUUCUUUAAACCUUCUCAGAUCAAGUAUUACCCCCUUGGGAUUUGCAUUUUUGCUCCAUCUCUGCUUGAGACAAACACCACACAGGAGAUACUGAAAGACUUGGUCAGCUGUAUGUGGUGGUGCACACCAGCAAUCCCAGCACUCCGGAGGCAAGAGCACCUGAGUUUGAGAACCAGGCCUAGGUGGCUGACGCGAGUCAGAGGCGUGCGGAGUCUCAGAAUCUCCCCCUGCACAGUAGGCCGCACCUACAAACGGGGUCCGGCACCAUUACUGCCACACAAGCUAUCCCCCAAUCCCUCGAUCUGAGGCAGACCCUGGCUGUUCCCGGACUCAUCUGCCUAAGGAAAACAAUCACACCCGAGCCUGGCUCACCGAGCUCACUCUUCGCUCUAUUCCAACGAUGCCAAGCACAGGAUUCCACCGAGCCUGGAUUCUACUGGACGCCCAGCUCUGUCAGGACCGCGCAGGCGCAGGCGAAGACCCGGCGCGGGGCGGGGCCCAGGUCCGGGGCUGCUCCGCGCUGGGAAGGGAGAGGAGCCGGGACCCACAGGGGAGGGCGGCAGGAGAGGCGGGGCGCCCAGGUGGUCCUGAUGUUCAGUGUUUCACGCCUAUGGAGGGAACCCCCUGCGUGACCACUGCUCUUGAGGAUAUCCCACCUGCACCCUUGUGGGAGCUCCAGUCCCCACACAAAAAGCCUUCCGUACACUCCGGGUUUUCUCAUUAGGGUCUAGGCUCAGCGCUCGUCCACAAGCACCGCCCCUGGGAGGCGCCAGUGGUUUCCGUCCACAGCACGCAGGCGCGUGAGGGACCCGGGGAUCCCGACACCCUGCUCCAGCGGGUGUUGUGGGGGCAUUAGGCUGCCCUAGCCCGAGGGCUGAGGGUAGUUUGGCUCUAGGGCCCCACGUUGGGCUGAAAUGGCCAAAUCUUUAGACCUGGGGUGGUGGUGGUGGUCGCCUUUGUUCUCUUGGUUAAGGUGCUAUUGUUUGGGCUUAGCCACUGUACAAUUAUCAUAUUGCGCUUUGUAGUUACUGUUUUGUGGGAAGAUACAUUGACACUAUAUAAAUGUCUUGUUCCUCAUCAAACUUUUACCCCCUAGUUUUAGCAUCCACUGAUUAUUUUUACCUGAACCACUUAUGACUGUGAUGGUGUGAUGUGAUUUUCUAAUUAUUUUUCUUGUUACACCCACUAGCAUUCUACUGUAAGAAAGCACUUUCUCACCGAUUUUAUUUAAUUUCUCAUUAAACGGUUUGUAUUAAUUAUUAACUCAAUGGGUUCUUAUUUACUCAAUGAGUUCUCUAAUUUUUUUUCAUUUUGAUACUUGUGUUAUCCAAGAUUUGGCCCGUGAGAACCCCUUCUAGGUGGAUAUUCCAUACUGAUAGGUCCCUAACAUAUUUUACUAUUUCCCUCUGUUGUGGCAUAAAAACAUAUUUCAGGCUCAUCUUGUGCAAUCAGGGUCCUAGCCACGGUAUGGGAAACAAAGCGGUUACUUAAAUAAGGCUAGAGAAAUAGGGAGGAGACAUUUUCUCAUGCA
ensembl:lincRNA